GGGCGGGGGCACGUGGGGACUCCUACGGGAGGCAGCAGUGGGGAAUUUUGGACAAUGGGGGCAACCCUGAUCCAGCCAUGCCGCGUGAGUGAAGAAGGCCUUCGGGUUGUAAAGCUCUUUCGGCCGGGAAGAAAUCGUGUUCUC
rnacentral:rRNA from 1 species